UUUAGGGGGCACAGGGAGAUAGAGACUAACAUUUGCCUUUCCCACACUUAGGCAUUUGGACAUCAGUCGUGCCCAGAGUGCUCCCUCGAGAGCAGACUGAAACUAACCAAGACUUGCUUACUGCUUCUCAGCUGCUGCUUCUGUUAACUUUACGGCUGAACCAAGAGCAGCAGCUUUAGUCUAAUCUUAAGGGUGGAAGAAAAGAAACAAUCUUUGAGAGGAAGAGAUGCACUAACAUGCAGGGUGUGUCUAGGGCAGUGGUACUCAACCUUUUUAGAUUCAGGGCACCCCUUGUUAAAUUUGGGGCACCCGCCUACCCUUACCUUCACUUGUUUCUUGAUGGGAAAAGUAGCAGAGCAAUUUUUUGCAAUAGAAGAACUCGGAAGACCACAACAGGUCAGAAUGGUUUUUAUUUUAUGGGUUCCUAUUUGAAAUCUUGUAAAUUUUACAGGUGUGUUUACACCUAAUAGUGCAGCGUGCCAUGCAAUAUCCUAAAAAGAAUCUAAUGGCACCCCAGGGUGCCACGGUACCCUGUUUGAGAAUCACCAGUCUGAUUUGGAAGAUGAGGUCCACAAAUGAUAUAUGGGGCUGUGUUGCUGUUCCACGCCAAAUGUGUUCCCAUGAUUUCUGGGGCUGCAGUGUCUGUGUGCUCCAUGGAAGCAAAGCAACCAGACCUUAGGAGAAAGAGAUCUUAUUUGUUUACUAGCCAAUACUUUAAGCCAAUAGAAAAAGGAAAUAGGCUCAAUAUCUUACUGUAGGUUCUUAAUUUGUUCCUCUUUAGCUAGGCAGAGUCAUUGAGAAAGCAGGGAUAUCCCAGGAGUUGUCUUUAACCCAGAAAAAAAGGAAGAAGAGUGAAAUUGGGGUCAAGUAGGGCAUAUUGCUCUAAUAUAGCAAGAGAGAAACAAAGGGAGGAGAGGUGUGCAGAAAGUGAGAAAGAAGACCAGGCAAAAAUUGAAAGGAAAAAAGUGAUUAUGGCAUUGUGGGGAUAGAUCGGAUUUCAGGUUUUUGGUUGUUACCCUGAUGUAAUAAAAUAAUCAAAAGCAAUAAGAUCUCUUCCUCCAGUGGUCAUUUCUUUCUCAGCCCAUGGUUGCAAGUUUGAGAGAGAGUCAGUUUCCUCAUCCAGCUGGCAGCAGUCCCAUUUAAGAAAAGUUCAAAAUGGGUCUGCAUUCAUGGGUAGUUGGGGCAGCCCAUCUGAUCUCUAUAUUUUGUUGUUAAUUGACUUAGCUUGGUGGAAGAAAAAAAAAAGUGAACAUCAAAGUCAUUCUGAAAUUCCUACAGCAGUAAAUGAAUGUGUGUUCCUACAGUCUAGUCUACAUGAUCAGCCUAUCCACAGUAGCUGCUGAAUGUGAGAGAAUAGCACUACAGCAGAGGUUCCCAAUCUGUGGUGCGGGUACCACUAGUGAUACACAAACAACCCGUGUUCUAAGGAAUUGGAACCAUGACAGACUCCAAGUAUUUCACAACUAAUAAAAAAGGAGAGAUCUUCGAGCUCAAGGCUGAGCUCAACAACGAAAAGAAAGAGCAGAGGAAAGAAGCUGUGAAGAAGGUUAUUGCUGCCAUGACUGUAGGGAAGGAUGUAAGCUCUCUCUUUCCUGAUGUGGUGAAUUGCAUGCAGACUGACAACCUGGAGCUGAAGAAGCUGGUGUAUCUGUAUCUAAUGAACUAUGCCAAAAGUCAGCCAGAUAUGGCUAUUAUGGCUGUGAACAGCUUUGUGAAGGUAACAUGGAGCAAGGCUCAUUAGAAGGCUCCCUCCUAUGGUUCUUGUGGUUGUGCCUGCUUUGGUGUGUACUGUUUAUCACAUGUAGUCUGUGGCUUCGUGCUCAAAAGUUGCUGGACUGAAUUGGGAUUGUAUCUAAGGAAGCAAAAUUAUCAGAGUGGACCAGACCAAUGGGCCCAUCUGAAAUUGUUCCCUGUCUCCAUCAGUAGGCAACACCAGGUGCUUUAAAGCAGGGGCAAGAAAAGUCCAGUCCAGCUGGCAGUGGACUCCAUUUCCUAACAGUUCCUGCCUGCAUGGCUGGGGCUGAUUUCCAUGGAGACUAGAGCAGCAGUCACACUGAUAGCAGACGGCCAGGGUUUUCAUGGAGACCAGCCCCAGCAAUGCUGGCAGAGUAUGUGGCAGGGCAGGGAGCUGCUCUGGGGCUGGGCUGGGAUCUUGCAGCAGUGACAACGUGGUCUGGAGCCGGAGCAGAGCCAUGAUCUGCAGCCUGCAUGCUCUGGGCUGGGGAGUGUAGGCAGUGGAUUGUGACUCUACCUCGGCUCACAGAUUUUCCCUUUUAAAGGAGACAAUCACGGGAAACCAUGGGUUUCCCCUUGCAGGCAGGCAGAGUUCCAGCCUACAAGGCUGCUUAGGCCUCAGGGGAGUGGGAGAAGGGUGAUUGGGGUCAGGGGACCAUGUUCAUGUGCACGCACAAACAUGCACAUGGAUCAGAAUGCAGACAGGCAGCAUGGUAAAAAGCAGCUCCCUGGAAGUAAGUUUAUGGGGUGGGGGGCAUAGGCGAUGUAUGGGAGAACAUGUGCCUCCCCCUUUCAGGUUUCUGCACCCACAGUGGGGCUUGGGGCUGCCGCCUGGCCAGACCAGCACUGAGCAGGUGCUGCCUCUGCAGUGCAGUGGGCAGGACCUGGCACAGGAGGGUGGAGUGGGACAGGGAGGCUCAGUGCUGCUGCCGCUGCUGCCACUAGGAGUGCUACACCACCAUGGCCACCAAGGUGUGAGGUGUCCCCUGCCCACCAGGCAGCAGUGGGGGGCACAACUCCAUGGUACUGCCACUGCAGCACCUCACUUUGGUGGCCAUGGGGCAUAUCAGGGCUGCUCAGUGCCCCAGAGCAUCAGGGGGGGACAGUUGCAGCUGGACCCGUGUCUUGGUGAGUGAAGGAAGCAGGGGGAGCUCUAAUUUGCUAUGAUAAUAAAAACCAACAUCAAAUGCCAAAAUAUGUAGGUAUUUAGAAUUUAUCUUAUUAUAAUGAUUGAGGUACUGGUAGGCUUCCAAAUUGCUUUAAAACUGUAAAUAUAUAAAUAAAACAUUGUGUUCAGCUGAUCCCUA